GUUGUCGUGGCCGAGUGGUUAAGGCGAUGGACUUGAAAUCCAUUGGGGUUUUCUCGCGCAGGUUCAAAUCCUGCCGAUAACG
rnacentral:tRNA from 1 species